rnacentral:misc_RNA from 1 species
GAUGAAGAACGUAGCGAAAUGCGAUAAGUAAUGUGAAUUGCAGAAUUCAGUGAAUCAUCGAAUCUUUGAACGCACAUUGCGCCCGCCAGUAUUCUGGCGGGCAUGCCUGUUCGAGCGUCAUUUCAACCAUCAAGCCCCAGGCUUGUGUUGGGGACCUGCGGCUGCCGCAGGCCCUGAAAACCAGUGGCGGGCUCGCUGUCACACCGGGCGUAGUAGAUUUUAUCUCGCUCAGGGCGUGCUGCGGGUUCCGGCCGUUAAAAAGCCUUUUUUACCCAAGGUUGACCUCGGAUCAGGUAGGAAGACCCGCUGAACUUAAGCAUAUCAUAAGCGGAGG